rnacentral:lncRNA from 10 species
UUUACUUGAGCCCUGUGCCCCUGGCAAACAGCAAUGGCUGAGAAAUCUUCCAUUUGUGUUCCAUGAGAGGGCUUACUACAAAGAACCACCUUUAGCCAUAAACCACGGAAUACAUGCAGCCUCUAGAAGCUGGAAGGAAAUGGAUUAUCCCGUAGAGCCUCCAGAAAGGAAUGCAACCCUGACAGCAAGAUCUGUCCAGACUCAACUUCCAAAACUAUGAAGUCAGAAGUGUGAUCUGAAAUAGAGCUUCUAGCGACCUGCAGGAGCAUUGAGUGACCAAGUGGGAUGCCUGGAGUGUAUUGUAUCCAUUGCGCUCUCACAGCCGCUGGGAAUCGUGGCAAGUUCUCUCUGGGAUACUGAAGCUCGACAGAUUUGUGUUUUGAACUAUCCAAGUUUAUUUGAACGAAAUUUUUGAUCCAAACUUUCUUCAGAAGUCUCAACAGAAAAUGAACUGGGUCCAGAAUUAGAUUCAAUCUGUAAACUAAAAAUAAAAUUCUAAGGCCCCCAACCAACUGAAUGGACCCCUUCUCUCAGCCAAGGGCAUUUUAAAGUUAACCUGAAAAACUAGUUCAGGCCAUGAUGGAAACAGAGGUUCCAUAUACCUCAUUAUACUUUCCUCCCUUUGGAAUUCAGGCACAACUGACCAGCGUUAACAUUAAAACAAAGAUCUAAAACCGGCAAAACAGACUCUUUGUAGCAAUAAGAUACCAAAUUCCAAUCUGACCUACUAUAGACUCACAUGACAGAUAACAGGCCCUGAAAGAAAUGAAAGCAUUUUAUCCAAAAAUAUUUUUCCAUGACAUAUUUUAAAAUGGCUUUGCAAAGCUGUCUUGUGUGUGGGGGGGGAAACUUACAGUCUGUAGAGAAUCUCCUUCCCUUACUAGGUCUUUUCAGGGGAGUCUAGCACCUUUUAGUGUCUGAUAAGAAGACCUUUAACAUCUAUUGUCUCUGAAGCCUGCUAAUUAGAGGCUUCAUCUGCAUAACAAGAAGUUUGGUUUCCACAGUCUCUUUUAUCUUGACCCCACGCAUUUUUUUUUUCUGCUAACUUCAACUCUUUAGCCAAAAUUAAACUCUUUCAACCAACUGCCAGUCAGGAAAUCUUUGAGUCCACCUAUGGCCUGGAAGCCCCCAUUUUGAGAUGGCCUGCCUUUCCAGAAUAAAUCAAUGUACACCUUACAUAUACUAAUUGAUAUUUGCCUAUAACUUCUGCCCUCCUAAAAUGUAUAAAAUCAAGCUGUGACCCCAACACUUGGGCCAUGUUCCCAGGACCUCGUGAGGCUUUGUCGUGGGCAUGUCCUUAACCUUGGCAAAAUAAACUUCUAAAUUAACUGAGACUUGUCUCAGAUAUUUUUUGGCUUAAAGAUCCUAAAAAUAACUGGCUUGGAUCCAGUUAUAAACCCCUUAUGUCUGACUGGGUCAGAUUAAAAACCAAUAGUAAAUGGUAACAUUGCAGGAGGUGCAAACUUUAGCAUUUAGAAAUUUGCAGAGAUUUUUGUAUUUUAACUCCUUUCUUUCUUGUGUGCUUAUAUGAGGAAAGACAUCGGCUAAGUUGAUU